GAAUUUGCGAAUUUAUUUCUUUUUCCCCCUUAUAGUGCUCUGUGUUCUACAUCAUUGGUGGUGUCAAGGGAAGAGCAGGGAGAAUGCUCGCUAUGAGGUGACUGCAAAAAUUGUAAAGACAUGAAAACAUCCAUCACAGUUAUUUGGUGGGUAGAGAUACAUAACUCAAGAGAGAACAUUUUUAGCCUUGUAUAGAGUCGAACUUAAUAUGAAUGGUCCGGAGCACAUUUCUCUCCUACUAAUUGCAUAAUAAAGGAUCUACAUUAUCAAAUACCACCAAGUAUCCAAAUUGGUGAAUUCAGUCCAAAUAAAA
rnacentral:misc_RNA from 1 species